GACGAACGCUGGCGGCGUGCCUAAUACAUGCAAGUAGAACGCACAGUUUAUACCGUAGCUUGCUCCACCAUAAACUGUGAGUUGCGAACGGGUGAGUAACGCGUAGGUAACCUGCCUGGUAGCGGGGGAUAACUAUUGGAAACGAUAGCUAAUACCGCAUAAUAUUGAUUAUUGCAUGAUAAUUGAUUGAAAGAUGCUAUUGCAUCACUACCAGAUGGACCUGCGUUGUAUUAGCUAGUAGGUGAGGUAACGGCUCACCUAGGCGACGAUACAUAGCCGACCUGAGAGGGUGAUCGGCCACACUGGGACUGAGACACGGCCCAGACUCCUACGGGAGGCAGCAGGAGGGAAUCUUCGGCAAUGGACGAAAGUCUGACCGAGCAACGCCGCGUGAGUGAAGAAGGUUUUCGGAUCGUAAAGCUCUGUUGUAAGAGAAGAACGGGUGUGAGAGUGGAAAGUUCACAAUGUGACGGUAUCUUACCAGAAAGGGACGGCUAACUACGUG
rnacentral:rRNA from 1 species